CGUAGCCAACGAGCUACGCUUCGUUGUAGCUAUAUCGCGAAUCGAAGUUAAUUAUUUAGUGGGCUACGAGAGCUAAUGGAAACGUGAUUAAUUUAUUAACAUACAUCAUUUAUUAUUCAUUAUUCGUAUAUUACAGAAACACUUAUAGAUUAUAAGUAUGAAAUUAGAUGUAAAUAUAUUGGUUUAGAAAUAAAAAAAGUCGGCGUCAUUGCUAACAAUAUCGUUCUUUCGUUUUAUAUAAUGGUAAUUGAUUGAAAUUGUAGUUUGGACUCAUUUAUGAAUGAUUCGUUAGAAUAGUCAUAAAAAAAUAAUUAUUUUAUUAAUAUCAAGCGAGAUUGUUACAAACAUUCUGUAGGGAUGAGAAUAAAGAUGUUUUCUUGUGCUAUGUUCUUCUGUAUAUUGAUGCUGAUAGUGGAUACGAGGAUUGCUGCUUUACCACACACAAGUAUCCAGCCUCGAAAAUGUCAUUUUGGCAAUAAUGCCAGUCGCGUCGGCAUGUGUCCUGAUGAACAACCCUAUUGCACUACAGUUGCGUCAACUCCUAAUUUAACAAUUACUCUUGGCUGUGGAGCGGCUCAAGAGUCACCUUGCGUGUUGGAAUACAAAACUGAAUAUCUGUUGACCUGCAUAUGUAAUGACAAUCUCUGCAAUGCGCCUUACAAUCCACAGUUACGGG